UGUCAACUAGUUGUNGGGUCUGUUAAAAGAUUUGGUAACGUAGCUAUCGCAUGAAGUUGACCGCCUGGGAAGUACGGUCGCAAGAUUAAAACUCAAAGGAAUUGACGGGGACCCGCACAAGCGGUGGAUUAUGUGGAUUAAUUCGAUGCAACGCGAAAAACCUUACCUACCCUUGACAUGCUUAAAAUUUUGCAGAAAUGUAAAAGUGCCCGAAAGGGAAUUAAGACACAGGUGCUGCAUGGCUGUCGUCAGCUCGUGUCGAGAGAUGUUGGGUUAAGUCCCGCAACGAGCGCAACCCUUGUCACUAAUUGCCAUCAUUAAGGUGGGCCCUUUAGUGAUACUGCCGGUGACAAACCGGAGAAAGGUGGGGAUGACGUCAAGUCCUCAUGGCCCUUAUGGGUAGGGCUUCACACG
rnacentral:rRNA from 1 species